UCGUUUAUCGCGGCUUCGGUGCAUCGCGGAUUUUUUCAAACAUAUUCAUUAAAAAAAAAAAGUUUUUUUUUGAAGUCUGCAAAAAGUCCACGAGAAGCAGUGAAAGUCAUCAAAAACACAGUGAGUCACAUAGAGCAACAUACACAGUACAUGUGGGGUUGGGGGGGUGAGAAGAUGUAAAGCCAUGUUGAUUGGCUGUGCAUCUUCUUUCUGUCUUACAGUGGGUUACUCUUUGAUCUUUAAUCGUGUCUUAAGUGUUGUUUACGAUGCUGCUAGUGUGUGCAGAGAGAGAGAGAGAGAGAGAGAGAGAGAGAGAGAGAGAGAGAGAGAGAGAGAGAGAGAGAGAAGGCUUAUAAGAAAAAAAAGCAGGUCUCUUCCAUCCUUAAUUGACUAAUCAUAAACACGUCUGCCAUGGGAUCCCUGGCCUGUGUGUGUGUGUGUGUGUGUGUGUGUGUUAGUGCGCUCUGCUCAAGCAAAGGCCCACGUGGGGCAAUUA